AAUUAAUAAUUAGAAGUCAAUGGCAACCAUUGUAAAUAAGUUCCAACUCCAGGAUUUGUUUCACAAAAUAGCUGGAAAAAUGUAUAUGUAGAUAUUGAAAGUAUAUUCUUUUGGCGUUUAAGUGUUAGUUUCAUCUUAAACGUU
rnacentral:sRNA from 1 species